UGGGGAAUAUUGCACAAUGGGCGCAAGCCUGAUGCAGCCAUGUCGCGUGUAUGAAGAAGGCCUUCGGGUUGUAAAGUACUUUCAGUCGGGAGGAAGGUGGUAAGGUUAAUAACCUUAUCAAUUGACGUUACCGACAGAAGAAGCACCGGCUAACUCCGUGCCAGCAGCCGCGGUAAUACGGAGGGUGCAAGCGUUAAUCGGAAUUACUGGGCGUAAAGCGCACGCAGGCGGUCUGUCAAGUCGGAUGUGAAAUCCCCGGGCUUAACCUGGGAACUGCAUUCGAAACUGGCAGGCUAGAGUCUUGUAGAGGGGGGUAGAAUUCCAGGUGUAGCGGUGAAUUGCGUAGCGAUCUGGAGGAAUACCGGUGGCGAAGGCGGCCCCCUGGACAAAGUCUGACGCUCAGGUGCGAAAGCGUGGGGAGCAAACAGG
rnacentral:rRNA from 1 species